rnacentral:rRNA from 1 species
GGUAUCCUAACCGUGCAAGGUAGCGCAAUCAAUUGUCCCGUAAAUCGAGACUAGUAUGAAUGGCUAAACGAGGUCUUAACUGUCUCUUACAGGCAAUCGGUGAAAUUGAUCUCCCUGUACAAAAGCAGGGAUAAACCCAUAAGACGAGAAGACCCUGUGGAACUUCAAAACCAACGACCACCUUAAAACACAUACCCACCUACUAGGUUCACUGACACACAAGAUUCUGGUCCACGUUUUUCGGUUGGGGCGACCUUGGAGCAAAACAAAACCUCCAAAAAUUAGACCAUACCUCUAGACUAAGAGCAACCCCUCGACGUGCUAAUAGCACCCAGACCCAAUAUAAUUGAUCAAUGGACCAAGCUACCCCAGGGAUAACAGCGCAAUCUCCCCCGAGAGUCCGUAUCGACGGGGAGGUUUACGACC